AGAGUUUGAUCCUGGCUCAGAAUCAACGCUGGCGGCGUGCCUAACACAUGCAAGUCGAGCGCGGUUACCCCGGAAGGGGUGACUGACUGGCAAACGGGUGAUUAACGCGCGAGUGACCUACCUUCGAGUGGCGGAUAACGUUUCGAAAGGAACGCUAAUACCUCAUGACAUCCUGCCUUUGGACGAGGAGAGAUUCAAGCCGGGGAUCGGAGGACCUGGCCCUUGGAGAGGGGCCCGAGUCCGAUUAUCUAGUUGGUGGGGUAACGGCUCACCACUGAGACGAUGGGUAGCCGGCCUGAGAGGGCGGACGGCCACACUGGGACUGAGAGGGGCCCAGACUCCUACUUGAGGCAUGGCCGGGGAAUUGUUCGCAAUGCGCCCAAGGCUGAAUACCCCUCUUCGCAUGGAGGAUGACUUUCUUCUGAUUGUAAACUCCUGUUGAUCCUGACGAACAACCAUCGGGAUAACACCCCGGAGGUCUGACGGUGCCGAUUGACGAAGCCCCGGCUAACUCUCGACCGUCGUCCGCAGUAAUUGGGAGGGGGCGAGCGUUGUUCGGAAUUACUGGUCGUACAGGGAGUGCACGCGGUCGCCCUGGUCACAGGUGAAAUCCCUCGGCUCAUUGAAUCAACUGCGUCUGAUACUGGUUGCCUUGAUUUCGGGAGAGGGAUGCGAAAUUCGGAGUGUUACGGUGAAAUGCGUAGAUAUCUGGAGGAACACCGGUGGCGAAUGAGCGUCCUGGACGGAGAUAACGCUGAAGCUCGAACGCCAGGCCACACACGGGAUUAGAUACCCGGUGGGCCUGGCCCUAAACCAUGACGCUCGGAAGUGACGGCUAUCAAUCCCUCGCCUGCGAAUCUAGCCGAUAGGCUCUCCGCCAGGGAGUGAGGCGCCACGCUGAAACUGCAGGGAAUUGAGGUCGUCCGACCAACGCGAAACACGUGCUUAAUUCGACGACACGAAACCUACCAGCCUCAACGCAGGAAAGACGCGAAGCGCUUGCCCGACGACACCUGUUACGGUGCUGCAUGGCCG
rnacentral:rRNA from 1 species